rnacentral:rRNA from 1 species
GACGAACGCUGGCGGCGUGCUUAACACAUGCAAGUCGAACGGAAAGGCCCUGCUUUUGUGGGGUGCUCGAGUGGCGAACGGGUGAGUAACACGUGAGUAACCUGCCCUUGACUUUGGGAUAACUUCAGGAAACUGGGGCUAAUACCGGAUAGGAGCUCCUGCUGCAUGGUGGGGGUUGGAAAGUUUCGGCGGUUGGGGAUGGGCUCGCGGCUUAUCAGCUUGUUGGUGGGGUAGUGGCUUACCAAGGCUUUGACGGGUAGCCGGCCUGAGCGGGUGACCGGCCACAUUGGGACUGAGAUACGGCCCAGACUCCUACGGGAGGCAGCAGUGGGGAAUAUUGCACAAUGGGCGGAAGCCUGAUGCAGUAACGCCGCGUGCGGGAUGACGGCCUUCGGGUUGUAAACCGCUUUCGCCUGUGACGAAGCGUGAGUGACGGUAAUGGGUAAAGAAGCACCGGCUAACUACGUG